UUUGGAUAUUGUUGAUGUAUUAAAUAGGGAUAAUUGCAUAUAUACUCCUCAUACGUUUGAAAAUAUUCGAUUUACCUAUACUUUUUUUUUCUUUCUAAAAUAUCCCUCAUAUAUUCCACCGUUAUUGCAAAAAUCAAAAUACCCCGCAGUUAUCUCCUAUUAAGUUAAUUUGAGUUAAACGUGAGUUAAACAUCUACCACAGUUAAAAAAAAAUUAAAAUACCAAUUUUGCCCUUAAUUUAAGGACAAAUAAGAAAUGUUGGUGACGGUAGAGAGGUAUGUUGGAAAAGAUCAAAAGUCAAAAUAUUUUUUUGUGCCCCUAACUUUAAGAGCAAAUAAGAAAGUCAGUGAUGGUGGAAGGGUAUAUUUGAAAAGACAAAAUAGUAAUUUUACAGAGAUAACAGAAUUAAUUAAAAGAUUUUAACUUUAGGGUGCGUUUGGUUCACAUUAUGAAAGAUUACUAGGAAUAAAAAAUAUCCGAGAAUCUUAUUCCUAUUCAUCCUAUUACUAAGAAUAUAGAAUUCCUGUGUUUGGUUCGCACGGUAAUAUUAAUUAGCCAUGUAAUUUAAUAUUGCAAAAAAUAUACAAUUCAUUAAUUUAUUUAUUUAAUUAAUUUUAGAUAAUGUUACCAAAAGUUUCAACAUCUUUUUAGAAAAAAGGGAGAGAGAAUAUAAGUUAGAGAGAAUGAGCAUAAUUAAAAAAAUAGAAAGAAAAAUAUAGUCGAAAUUAGAGGGAGUGAGAGAGUUGAAAUUUUAGAAAGAGAGAGAGAGAGAAAGCUUAGUUUAGAGAGAGAAAAAAAAGUUGAAUUUUAGAGAGAAAAAUAAAUUUAGAGAGAGAUAUAAGGUUAGAGUGUAAAGAAAAAUAAUAUCAAUUAGCCGGCGGAUAGGAAGAAAAAAAAAGAUUAGAUAUAUUAUGAUUAUUUCAAUCCAUUAAUAUGAGGAUACCUACCCUCCCUCAAGAGAAUGAGAUUAGUACUUUGGGAUGAAUCAUAUUCCCAAGUGAAUCCAAUAUUACCAACUAGAUUACUUAGUGCAUUUAGCCAAACACUGUCAUAUUUUUUUAUUCCCAUUGGAUUACUAGGAAUCUUUAAAAAAUAGCGUGAACCAAACGCGCCCUUAGGGUCAUAUUAGAAAUAGGUUGAAACGUAAAAAGGGUAUUUUCAAUAUUAGCCUUCUAAGAGAGGUAGAUCAGAAAGUCGGAAAUUUUUUAGGGGUAUAUAAGCAAUUGCCCCUAUUAAAUGUCCACAUGGAGGGGCUAGGGUUUAAUGCUUAGUUUGGUAUUGAGGCCUAUCUACUGCUAUUAGAUAAAAUGGAGUUGGAUUAAAAGCAUGUAGGAAUAUGUUGGAGCCACAAAAAUAUAUCGUAACCGACUAAUCGAACGUAAUAUUACGUAUGGAAACAAAUAUGAUAUUUUCUCAUCGUACUUUCUCACCGUACAUAAUGCAAUCUCUCCGCAAUCCCAAACGAAGCCUAAAAUUUAGGGUGUAAUAAUGGUGUGUAGAGUUUAAUAAUAGUAUUUACAGUUUAGCAAUUAAUAAUUAAAGUGUAAUAAUAAUAUUGU
rnacentral:lncRNA from 1 species